rnacentral:lncRNA from 1 species
GCUAUCUGUAAACUACUUCCCGCCCUGGGGAUUGUUUUUUGUAAUGGGCUAAUCAGGUCCCAGUGAUAUCUAAAAGGGGAUUUGUAGAGAAAAGACCAAGAUUGGUCAUGAAGCGAAUUUGAUGGCAAGAAGUAAGAAAGAUAUUUGGGGGCAAAUGAAAUAUGGGCCCCAAGAGAUCCUUAAAUCAGGAAGCUUGAGAGGCUAACUGAAUUGUCCAGACCUGAGACACUAGUGGAUUUCUGGAGCAAAAAUAUCUUCAAAACCAGCCAACCAACCAACAGCACAGGUCGCUUGGGGACCAAAGUCUCCAAAACCGACAAAAAUGCCCCAGACUUCAAUGCUCCCACGUUCUGUCCCAGCUGUCCAGAAUCUCCUCUUGACUAGGGGGCUUUGUUCCCUGUUGGGAUCCGGAGAUGAACUUAGGUCUAGACAAAAGCUUGCUCGGGUCAAGUGGAAAAACAGAGAUGAAAAGACAGGAGCUCUGAUAAUGACUUCCUAGUUGUGUGGACUCCAGAGAGACAACUCCAAAAGGAGAGGAAGAGGAAGAGGAAAGAAGAGAAGGAGACAAAGAAGGAAGGAAGGAAGGAAAGAAAGAAAAACGAACAAAAGAGAGUAAAGGUUAAUUUUCCAGAGUCCGUGUGUUGUGAAUAAGGUCUGGGGAAGUGGAUUCUGACAACUGAGAGGA